rnacentral:lncRNA from 1 species
UACGAAGAGGAACUGGAUUCCCGCUGGCAAGCAUGCACUUACCGUGUCCUAUUUCUAUGAUGCAACCCGAAAUGUGUACCGCAUCAUCAGCAUCGGAGGCGCCAAGGCCAUCAUCAACAGCACAGUCACUCCCAACAUGACCUUCACCAAAACCUCUCAGAAGUUCGGGCAAUGGGCAGACAGUCGAGCCAACACUGUGUAUGGCCUAGGCUUUGGCUCGGAACAGCAGCUGACCCAGAUAUGUUUGUAUGCGUUUGCAUGUGCAUAGGCCAUGUGUGUGCUGGUGCUCACAGAGGUCAGAAGGUGGCAUUAGAUCUCCUGGAGCAGAAGGUACAGGCCAUUGUUAAGGCACCCGACAUAGCUGCUGGGAACUGAACUCGCCUCUUAGAAGCAUUCUUAACUGCUGAGACAUCUCUCCAGCUCCUCAAAAUUUUUUAAUUAAAAAAAUUAUUACUUUUUAUUU